rnacentral:lncRNA from 1 species
AAUAAUCACAAAAUCAAUUAAGUCAUGAAAAAUAAUAAUAAUGAUCCAAAAACUAAUUUUAAUUCAAAAUAUGGAAGAGGAACUUAUUUAAAUUUUUUUGGUGAAACUCUCAGAUUUUUUGGAUCAAUAUUAAAAUUAAUAUGAAUUAAUGAAAAUCAAAUGAAUUAAAACAAAAAUAAAAAAAAUCAAAAAAACGUGAGCCAC